rnacentral:lncRNA from 1 species
CCCGGGAGCGACCCGAGGGCAACAAUCCACCCCAAGUUUCCAGGGCAGGUGGCCAAGCCCGGAGGCGGGGGCGGGACGCUCACCUGCGCGCGCGCGCACUAGCAGCGCGACGGGCUCGGAGAGCGCUCACCUGAGCGCACGCGCCGGCAGGGGGCGCGGCUGUGCGUGGUCUGCGUGCAGGCGCGCGGGUAGAGUGUGUGGGGCUGGGGGCUGCGGAAGCGGGUGGUUCGCUGCUCUGUACCCGGCGGAGCUGACAGCCGUGCGCCCGCCGCGCCUCAUCUUCCCUGGAGCGUCCUCUCAGUGACCCCAGAAGAUCUGAGAAGAGACCUUUGAGUUGAGUCCUGGAAGACAGCUUUGGGGAUAGCUGAGAGAAUGUUUCCGAAAGAGAAGCUAGACCCCUUCACUCUGAACACCAAGUCCACGGAAGGCAGGGUCUCUGAGAGUCAUCUGUAAAUGCUUCCCAUUCUGCACUCAGUCAGGAUUUGCUGAACGGAAAGAUGGACAGAUACGUAUUGCUUUUUUAGUCUCUUUAGGAUGCUUUUUGGAACAAGGGGGACCUGGAUAUAUUUUUGUGGGAGGCUGUGGAGGAAAGUCUUUCCAAAGUCCAGCCUGUCAACUCCCUGGUUGAUGUUUUUGCCAUCAUGCAUAGCACAUAGAAGGAGCUCGAUAACUAACCGUUGGAUAAAUAACAUUCGUUUUUAUAGACGAAUCUGUGUUCUGAGAAGGAUGACAGGGAUCUUAUAUCUUCCAUCACAUCUUGCAUAA